GAUGAAGAACGCAGCGAAAUGCGAUAAGUAAUGUGAAUUGCAGAAUUCAGUGAAUCAUCGAAUCUGUGAACGCACAUUGCGCCCCCUGGUAUUCCGGGGGGCAUGCCUGUUCGAGCGUCAUUUCACCACUCAAGCCUCGCUUGGUAUUGGGCAACGCGGUCCGCCGCGUGCCUCAAAUCGACCGGCUGGGUCUUCUGUCCCCUAAGCGUUGUGGAAACUAUUCGCUAAAGGGUGUUCGGGAGGCUACGCCGUAAAACAACCCCAUUUCUAAGGUUGACCUCGGAUCAGGUAGGGAUACCCGCUGAACCUAAGCAUAUCAAUAAGCGGAGGA
rnacentral:misc_RNA from 1 species